GUAUCCGGGAUCUCGCCACACUUCGCUAACUACGGCCGAGAAAUGAUCGUGUUCACCGAAAACUACAAGAUACAGGAUCUGAACGCUUCCAAGAAUCCUCAGGAAGAGCAGCAGAAACGAAUCAAAGCACUAUCAAAAGUACAUGACUUUGUAAGACAGCGAAUUCGAGAUGCUCACGAAAAAAGCAGGGCAAGGUACGACCUUCGAGCCCGAAAUAGGAGUUUCGAAGUUGGUCAACUAGUUUGGAGAAGAUCGUUUCAGCUUUCAUCGAAGUCAAAACAGGAAACGAAAAAACUGGGACCCAAAUUUGUUCCUUGUUUCGUAAGAGAACGGAUAGGCGCCAACAACUACCGAUUAGAAGAUGUCUCCAGCGACUACCAGGGUGUAUACCACGCCAAAGACAUCAAAUCGGAUUAAAAUCCUGUUCCAUUAUAUAAAUCAGCUACGUAAGAUGACAAUCCACACAGUCAGCCAACGAACAACAACAAAACACGCAAAGCGGCGAAUAAGACAAACCGUUAACCGAACGAGAAACAUCGGACUAAAUCAGCUACGUAAGAUGACAAUCCACACAGUCAGCCAACGAACAACAACAAAACACGCAAAGCGGCGAAUAAGACAAACCGUUAACCGAACGAGAAACAUCGGAUUAAAUCAGCUACGUAAGAUGACAAUCCACACAGUCAGCCAACGAACAACAACAAAACACGCAAAGCGGCGAAUAAGACAAACCGUUAACCGAACGAGAAACAUCGGACUAAAUCAGCUACGUAAGAUGACAAUCCACACAGUCAGCCAACGAACAACAACAAAACACGCAAAGCGGCGAAUAAGACAAACCGUUAACCGAACGAGAAACAUCGGACUAAAUCAGCUACGUAAGAUGACAAUCCACACAGUCAGCCAACGAAAAACAACAAAACACGCAAAGCGGCGAAUAAGACAAACCGUUAACCGAACGAGAAACAUCGGACUAAAUCAGCUAUGUAAGAUGACAAUCCACACAGUCAACCAACAAACAACAACAAAACACGCAAAGCGGCGAAGAAAUCAAACCGUCAACCGAACGAGAAACAUCGGAAAAUAAUCAGCUAUGUACGAAGGCAAAUAUAACAGCCAACCAACAAACAACACCAAAACACGCAAAGCGGCAAAGCAGACCCUCCGUUCAUCGAAACGUGAAAAACCGGUAACAACACAGCUAUGAACGAAGAUAACAUCAACCUACAAACAACUUCAAAACACGCAUAGCGGUAAGCAGACACUCCGGUCACCAAAAGAACAACUAGCAACAUCGAAACACGCAUAUCGGUAAACACGGUUAUUGAACGAGAAACAUCGGCAAACCACGCAGCUACGAAAGACGACAACCAAACAGUCAACCAACUAGCAACAUCAAAAUACGCACAGCGGCAAAGAAAUUAAACCGGUCACCGAGUGCUAAACAUCACAACAAGAAACAGCUAUGAACUACGGCAAAGUCAACGAACUACGUCGAGAACUAACAUCAACACCAAAAUACGCACAGCGGCUAAGAAACAAUCCUUCACCAAAAAACAAAACAUCAUUACACCACGCAGCUAUGAAUAAUGACUAAAGUCAACCAGCAACAUCCAGAACUACUAGCAACAUCAAAACACGCACAGCGGCCGAAGAAAACAAUCCAGUUCUUCGAACGUGUAACAUCGCUAGAACCACGAAGCUGUGAAAAACGACAAAGUCAACAAACUAUGCCUAGAACCACUAGCAGCAUAAAAUACGCCUCGCAGUACCAAAAAAUGCUCUUUGACAAAAAACAAAACAACAUCAAGCUUUACUAGAUUGCCAUACGUGUAAACAACUGUUAGUAAGCACCAAUCAUUCGAAAACACCAACAGGUAGAACAACCUGAAGUCGACACAGUUAUGAAUGAAGACAUCAGUCGCCGAACCAUGCUUGCGAAACAUCUGUCAAGCUAAAAAUACGCAGCGCGGUUAAGUAAAAAUACUUCAAGUUAAUCAAUGAACAAUAAUGUCAAUUGAAAAUUAUCGCUAAUCGGUCAAGACUCUAAGUCAUCAUAUCGCAAAAUUAAUGUUAAACAAAUCAAAAUCCAAGGCAAAAUAUUCCAUUCUUAUCAUGUCCAUAAUUCCUCACUGUAGUAUAAUCAGAUAUUGUAGUUCUAAAGCCAUAACAAUCAAACCCUCAACAAACAUACUCCACCAACCAUAACCUAAGCAAUAGCCACCCCAACGAAGAAUACAGAUGAAUGUUCUACGGAGAGAAGCAAAUGCAAUAGUACCUAUGAAGCACAUCUUCCAGAACUUAGCUGGAAUGCUGAUUGACACAGAAUGCAAUCAGUUCAAAUUUUAGUUCAAGUAUUAGCCCGAACAUAAGCUGCAAGCGCUAUGCAGUUUUGUGAGACACCAAGACACUCGUCGUAGCUGCAAAUUGCGGAAGGAUUUAUCGAGAGUGUAUUACUUAAGUUUUGAGUCUUCUUCCAAAGAACUACCAUCAUCAAGAAACCACACCCAAAAGCCACCAAACCAUAGCCCAAGACCAAAGAACCAUUCAACCACACCACAGAGAAAAAGCCGAACAGGAGAAGCAUAUACGUUAGCAGUAAGGAAAUUUUCCAGAGCAUAGCUGGAAGGCUGACAACGAGAUCAGCGAAGCUUAAGUUCAAGCAUUAGCACUAAGUUAAAUUGCAAAUUUUGCAAUUGUAAGAGAUAUCAAACACUCAUCGUAGCUGCAAAGAUCGCAGAGAAGAAUUUGUCGAGAGUGUAUUAGUUAAGAUAGAAACACUUCUCCUGUUAAAAGACCGAAACAUAACGCUGGUAAAAUUUUGUGAAUUUGUCAUAAAAAUUCACAAAAUUUUAAGAUAAAUUGUAGAUUGUGUUACAAUUAUUGACUGGGUCACAAAAAACCCAAAGUCUAAAAUCACAUAAAAUUUAGACGUACACGCCGACCGGUCUACCACAUAUCCAGUGACAUUGGACCAAACAGAAAAAGUGGGAAAAAAGCUUCACACGUUUUCCCGACGCGUCUUUCCAAAAGUUUGGAAAACGCUUAUUAAGAAAUUGUGGUCCGCAGCAACAACCCGUCAACACUCCGAGAUUCGGGAAUUCCGGAUAGUGCCAGGGGAAAGGAACCCCUUUGCGUCCGAAUCGACCCAGCGAAGAUCCGACGAGAUCCAGCACGAAGAGGCCUUCUGAAAAGAGGGCUUUUUUGUGGUGUGGCAUUUUCCACACACACGUGGAAUCGUCGCCGCGUUGGAUCAUCGCUUGCAGGAGAUACCGGUGUUGGAUCGCUUCAAGGGUGCUCACUGCCGAAGAGAAGUCAAUUCCGGCCAGCACUUGAGGGAGCUGUUCACCUCGAAGUGAACUGUGGUGACCCUCAGUGCGCAGCGACCAACACCACCGGAGCGGAUUGCACAUUACUUCAGGCACUAUUGCCUAGUACAUUUCAUUCCCCGGCCACUAGCGCCGCAGGGGAAAUCACCCCGGAGAACCAAAACCGGGUCAGCGGUUAUUUGUGUUCCGGCCACGAGCGCCGAAGGGAAUUUGAGUGCCGUUAUUUAAGUGCCGAUUAAGGUGCUGUUUUUUUUAUUUCGGCCACCAGCGCCAAGAGGGACGUUGCUCGUGUUCCGACCCCGAGCAAUGUCCAUAAGUGGAUGUCGGGUUUGUGAGUGCUGAUUGAGUGGCCAUUUGUUCAUCCGGCCCCCAGCGCCAAAAGGACCUUGCUCGUGAUCCGGCCCCGAGCAAAGGCCAGUGUUUGAUGCCGGGAAUUGCCGCCCAACAAGGCGUUUCAAGCUUGUGUUCCAGCCUCGAGCGCUGAAGGGAUUCUUGCGUCGUUUUCUUGCCGAGAAGAGGAGCGUGAUGUUCCGAGCGUGAACAUAUCACCAAAAACAUCAAGGUAAGCUUAAGGUUUAUGGUUUUUAUUCAUUAAUGGUUUGAUUCGCAUCUGACGCACUCUUUUCAUUUCGUGCACAGAUUGCAGAGCAGCAAGAUUGCUGCAAUUUAAAAAUUCCGGCAAGAGAUCU